CCUGCAUCCGAUACGGUCGAGCUAGAGUUUGGUAGGGGAGACUGGAAUUCCUGGUGUAGCGGUGGAAUGCGCAGAUAUCAGGAGGAACACCGAUGGCGAAGGCAGGUCUCUGGGCCAAUACUGACACUGAGGAGCGAAAGCGUGGGGAGCGAACAGGAUUAGAUACCCUGGUAGUCCACGCCGUAAACGAUGGGCGCUAGUUGUGCGAACCUUCCACGGUUUGUGCGACGCAGUUAACGCAUUAAGCGCCCCGCCUGGGGAGUACGAUCGCAAGAUUAAAACUCAAAGGAAUUGACGGGGCCCCGCACAAGCAGCGGAGCAUGCGGCUUAAUUCGACGCAACGCGAAGAACCUUACCAAGGCUUGACAUAUACAGGAAUACGGCAGAGAUGUCGUAGCCGCAAGGUCUGUAUACAGGUGGUGCAUGGUUGUCGUCAGCUUGUGUCGUGAGAUGUUGGGUUAAGUCCCGCAACGAGCGCAACCCUCGUUCUGUGUUGCCAGCAUUUAGUUGGGGACUCACAGGAGACUGCCGGGGUUAACUCGGAGGAAGGUGGGGAUGACGUCAAAUCAUCAUGCCCCUUAUGUCUUGGGCUGCACGCAUGCUACAAUGGCUGGUACAAACGGCUGCAAUACCGCAAGGUGGAGCGAAUCCGAUAAAGCCAGUCUCAGUUCGGAUUGGGGUCUGCAACUCGACCCCAUGAAGUCGGAGUUGCUAGUAAUCGUAGAUCAGCAACGCUACGGUGAAUACGUUCCCGGGGCUUGUACACACCGCCCGUCACAUCACGAAAGUCGGUAACACCCAAAGUCAGUGGCCCAACCGCAAGGAGGGAGCUGCCAAAGGUGGGAUCGGUGAUUGGGAUGAAGUCGUAACAAGGUAACC
rnacentral:rRNA from 1 species